GCGUGCUUCCGCUCAUCUCAGCAUUAAGAAAACAUCGUUUAAGUGUGAAGAUUUUACAUUUCAAGCCGAAAAAGGACCUGAUGAAAAUGUACAAUUUCAUGGCCCUUUGAUGAGUGAUAAGAUGCAGAAGGACAACCUGAUCGGGUUAAUUCAGGGGAAAAGGCAGGAGUGUUUCCAACAGCUGAAUGACCCUGAUCAACAGAUAUUCUAUUUCUUCUGGCUGAUUAUGGAACUCUUCUAUAAAGGAAACGGAAGAGUAAUGAUGGAUGAAAUCGGAGCAGUUAUCCUAAAGGGCUAUGUCCUUGUGAGGAGAAAGCUCGGAGGUGUUAGGGACC